ACUUCAAAUUUCAACCACUCUUAGCUAAUUACUUGGAGAUUACAUCAAGCUAAGAAAGAGGGCUGCUAUCCACGUUUUUCUUGAGCAUCUAAGGGGCCGAAAUUUCUGCCUUCAUCCUCUAAUCAAGCGCUCAAGGGGACCUUCAAGAGGAACUCGAAGUGGACGCCUAGACAUUGUUUGAGUAUUACUCUCUUGUUGCUAUAGGGUUAGAGACCAAGGGUGCUCGUGAGUAGUACUAGAUUGUUCUCUUUUGAAGACUUUGAGUUACAUUAUAACG